rnacentral:sRNA from 1 species
ACAGGACAGACUUAAGGGCGGGAGGGAGCCCAUCCCGCUUGCCCCAACGAACGCGGGCGCGGGGCUUUCCUCGCAGCUUACAUAAGGCAGCCGCGGGUGGAGGCAGCAGAGGGGAGCGCACGUCCGUCGAGGGGGAAAGGGGCGUGGGGAGGAGGCCGGGGCGGCCGGUAUCCCCGGGGCGUGAGUGCGCCGCCGCCGCCCGAGGUGGGGCGCAGCGCGCGGGGGAGCGCAGGGCGCGGCGGAGUCGGGUUUCAGAGCGCGGGUGACUCAGGGCGCGGGCCAGGAGCCGGGAUUCUGCCCGCCGCCGCCGCUGCCGAGCUCCGCCUUUGUUCCCUGCAGGAAGGGCGAGCGCGGCGGCCUGCGCUCAGCGACCCUUCGUCCUCCGCUGAGCUCCAACGCUCUGCUCGACUCGCCGCGCGCCUUCCGGGGCUCCGCGGACCCGCGAGAUGGCACCAAGGAGGAACAACGGGCAGUGCUGGUGUCUGCUGAUGCUGCUCUCGGUCUCCACGCCCCUCCCUGCCGUCACCCAGACCCGCGCUGCUACAGAAUCUGCUUCCCAGGGUCACCUCGACCUCACGCAGCUCAUCGGUGUCCCGCUGCCCUCGUCCGUAUCCUUUGUCACAGGCUAUGGUGGCUUCCCGGCCUAUAGUUUUGGGCCUGGUGCCAAUGUCGGCCGCCCAGCCAGGACUCUCAUCCCAUCCACCUUCUUCAGGGACUUCGCCAUCGGCGUCAUGGUGAAGCCCAGCAGCACCCACGGCGGCGUGCUCUUUGCCAUCACUGACGCAUUCCAGAAGGUCAUCUACCUGGGCCUGCGGCUCUCAGGUGUGGAGGACGGCCACCAGCGGAUCAUCCUCUACUACACGGAGCCAGGCUCCCAUGUGUCCCAAGAGGCUGCUGCCUUCUCGGUGCCUGUGAUGACCCACAGGUGGAACCGCUUCGCCGUCAUUGUCCAGGGUGAGGAAGUGACCCUCCUCGUGAACUGUGAGGAGCACAGCCGCAUCCCCUUCCAGCGGUCCUCCCAGGCUUUGGCUUUUGAGUCCAGCGCUGGAAUCUUCGUGGGCAAUGCAGGAGCUACAGGGCUCGAGAGAUUUACUGUGAGUUAAAGUCCCACUCCAGGUAGAUCAGGGAGGUAGAUGAACAGACUCGCCAUGCAAUAAAUGGAGCAACUAUUAUUGUUAUUAUUUUAUUCUUACAUCCUCAAAGAAGCAUGCAUGUUACGAUGGGAAAUAACACUAGGCCUGGAACCCCAAAACCUAGAUUUCCAUCCUCAGUUUUCAACUUACCUUGUGGAUUUGAGACGGUUAUCCAGAUUCUCUGAUCCUCUCUGUGUUUCCUUAUCUGUAAGUGGAGAUAAGAAAACCUACCCCACAGUCUUGUAGGUCAAAUAAAAUAAUCUGUGUGAAAGCACUUUGUACAUUUUAAGAUUUUAUAUAAA